GGGUUUUCCACGUUAAAAUCUCGGUGUGUUCUUAUUAUUGCUUUACUUGCUAUAUUUGCUUGUUAUAGUUGCUGCCAUAUUGUGUUGUGAGUGCUUCCAUAUUGUUCUUGUGUUGGACAUUUGUGUCGUUUCCGCUGCUAGGCUCUUUCAUCGCGGUGGUUGCCGUCGUCACUGAAGGAGCUCGUCGCUGAGCUGCUGUGUUGCCGCCGGAGAAGAACUCGUCAGAAAGCUGCUGUCCUAUCCCGCCGUGCUCUAUCUUCCAUUCUUCCUCCACUGCUUCCGCCAUUAUCCUUACCCUUUGAAAACGUCGUAGGAAGCGUUUCACACCUCUGUCAGUUCUGUUUCCACAGUUCUAGCCUGCCGUUCGUCACUUCUGUUCUGUUGCGCCUCUGUUCGCUGUAUUGCUUGUCUAUUGGAGCCGCGGCUGCCUCCGUCCAAAUUUUGCGCUCUUUCCUACCCUUUAGUUUGGUAUUCCGAAUUUGGUAUCUUCAGUCCCUUGAGACUAAGCUACAUCAAUCCUACAAUCGAUAAUUUGUGUGUACGUAUACGAGUGAUACAGUUAUGGACACUACCAAGUUACAGAAAUUCUCCAUUGCCAUACUCAAUUGAGAUGGUUUGACUCGAUGAAGACUCUUUGACAAAGAGGCAAAACAAGUUUUGGGAAAGAGCUGUGUAGAGAUACUUGAUCCACUCUUAUUGGAUGUUGACUACACCGGUAGUUUGCUUCCAAUUUCAAAGGCAUCCUUAAUCAUUGAAAAAGAGAAAGUAGAAGGUACUAAGGUAUUUGUUCAAAAAAUAAAUUUUUUGUUUGUUUGUUCUCUUAAAAUUAGAUCUUAAUUUUAUUCAAAAAAUAUUAUUGAGAUAAAAUCAAAGGUUAGAAAGAAGUCUUUAAUUUAACGUGGUAUUUUGUACAUAAUUUGUUGCUUGAAUUCUCCAAUAAAGUUGUGACCAAUGAUGAAUCCGAAGAGUUGGAAAAUGCUAUUACACCAAUUAAGCGAUUAUCAUUGGAGUCGAAAGAUUUGAAUGUGGAAGGAAAUACCUCAACUUACAAAAAGACCAAGAUUGAGAAUGAAACUUGAGAAUUUGGAUGCACAUGUUUUGGAAUUCCUUUUAGAGUCUAUCUAAUAAAAUAAUACCAAGCAUAGGUUUGUUUUGGUGGAAACAUUAUCUUUUCUUGAAUUGUUAUUUUUCUUUUGGUUCUUUUCGAUUUUUAUGUUUGGAAUUUAU